GUGCUUACACUGCAAGUCGAACGGAAAGGCCCAGCUUGCUGGGUACUCGAGUGGCGAACGGGUGAGUAACACGUGGGUGAUCUGCCCUGCACUCUGGGAUAAGCCUGGGAAACUGGGUCUAAUACCGGAUAUGACCAACUGUCGCAUGGUGGUUGGUGGAAAGCUUUUGCGGUGUGGGAUGGGCCCGCGGCCUAUCAGCUUGUUGGUGGGGUAAUGGCCUACCAAGGCGACGACGGGUAGCCGACCUGAGAGGGUGAUCGGCCACACUGGGACUGAGACACGGCCCAGACUCCUACGGGAGGCAGCAGUGGGGAAUAUUGCACAAUGGGCGCAAGCCUGAUGCAGCGACGCCGCGUGAGGGAUGACGGCCUUCGGGUUGUAAACCUCUUUCACCAGGGACGAAGCGUGAGUGACGGUACCUGGAGAAGAAGCACCGGCCAACUACGUGCCAGCAGCCGCGGUAAUACGUAGGGUGCGAGCGUUGUCCGGAAUUACUGGGCGU
rnacentral:rRNA from 2 species